rnacentral:misc_RNA from 1 species
GAUGAAGAACGUAGUGAAAUGCGAUAAGUAAUGUGAAUUGCAGAAUUCAGUGAAUCAUCGAAUCUUUGAACGCACAUUGCGCCCCUUGGUAUUCCGAGGGGCAUGCCUGUUCGAGCGUCAUUAUAACCCCUCAAGCUCAGCUUGGUAUUGGGGCCUGCCAUCCUGGCAGCCCUUAAAAUCAGUGGCGGUGCCAUCCGGCUCUAAGCGUAGUAACUCCUCUCGCUAUGGAGUCCUGGUGGAUGCUUGCCAUUAAUCUUUUAACUUCUAUGGUUGACCUCGGAUCAGGUAGGGAUACCCGCUGAACUUAAGCAUAUCAAUAAGCGGAGGA